rnacentral:rRNA from 1 species
UACGUAGGGGGCAAGCGUUGUCCGGAUUUAUUGGGCGUAAAGAGCGUGUAGGCGGCCAGGUAGGUCAGCUGUGAAAACUCGAGGCUCAACCUCGAGAUGUCGGCUGAAACCAUCUGGCUAGAGUCCGGAAGAGGAGAAUGGAAUUCCCGGUGUAGCGGUGAAGUGCGCAGAUGAUCGGGAAGAACACCCGUGGCGAAGGCGGUUCUCUGGGAAUAUCCUGACGCUGAGGAGCGAAAGUGUGGGAGCGAACAGG